rnacentral:lncRNA from 1 species
AUGCUACUGAUGGAAGGGGAAAUGGGGAUUUUAAAGCAGAAACAUUGCCCAGGGACACAGAAGCCCUGGAAGCGGACUACUACUUCCAGAAUGGGUGAGUUCAUCGAAGAAUUUUCCACUAGCAAUCGACUUGUCAUUCGUAGAGGGAGAGAGCCGGAGACAGAGCAAAGGCUGGCCACACUGGCAGUGGUUUCCGGUUGUUCAUUUGUGUGCCCGUGGUGGCCAGCGUGUUUGCAGUUGGGAGGAUUCUUCACCAGUCUAACACAUGCCUCAGUUUUCGGGGUUGGCACUGCACAGAGUUGGAACCUGAUGAAACGGCCCCAUUUGAGUGCCUGCUGUAUCGUGUUGGCUCUGCUUCCUGCAGCUGUGCUCCGAAAUGAGCCUUUCAGUCAUUGCUCCCUAAUAGCCCCAUCUCCCCGAAUCCGGGAGGAUGCACAUUCCUCUCCUUGCUCACAUGCCCCACUUCAAGCCAUCUGCACACUCUACAGGGAACUUGCCACCUAACGUCCUGAUGUGCAACCCCAUCCAAAUCCUCUGCUGGAAUCUCACUGUUCACACCACUGAUGCCCCUGGCAGAAAGGCCAGUCUUCUUGUCUUUUUAUUCUAAAUGUUUAAUACAGAUUCCAU